rnacentral:rRNA from 1 species
CCUACGGGAGGCAGCAGUGAGGAAUAUUGGUCAAUGGACGCAAGUCUGAACCAGCCAUGCCGCGUGCAGGAAGACGGCUCUAUGAGUUGUAAACUGCUUUUGUACGAGGGUAAACGCAGAUACGCGUAUCUGUCUGAAAGUAUCGUACGAAUAAGGAUCGGCUAACUCCGUGCCAGCAGCCGCGGUAAUACGGAGGAUUCAAGCGUUAUCCGGAUUUAUUGGGUUUAAAGGGUGCGUAGGCGGUCGGAUAAGUUAGAGGUGAAAUCCCGAGGCUCAACUUCGGAAUUGCCUCUGAUACUGUUCGGCUAGAGAGGAGUUGAGGUAGGCGGAAUGUAUGGUGUAGCGGUGAAAUGCUUAGAGAUCAUACAGAACACCGAUUGCGAAGGCAGCUUACCAAGCUACUUCUGACGUUGAGGCACGAAAGCGUGGGGAGCGAACAGGAUUAGAUACCCCAGUAGUC